rnacentral:piRNA from 1 species
UGACUGGUCUCUCAGAGAUCGAUGCUGACU